GCCCCGUUAGCGAAAUGGCAGAGCGUCUGACUUAAACCCAGAGUCUUUUACAGGUUCGAGUCCUGUACGGGGCA
rnacentral:tRNA from 1 species